CCUUCUGUGAUGCUGCUUGUAUGUGUGUAUGAGUGUGUGGGUGGGUGUGUCUUCGGCCACCGCACGCGCGAAUCCUCGCCCCCUUCCCCAUCUCGUGAUCAGAGGCAGUGUCGGUGCAACCGCCCCAGUCUCCCCUUCCUUUCCUCCACCCGCGACAAGCGCAAAGCAUCCGGUGAAAGUCACACGCGGGAAAGCGCACAUCAGAUAGAGGCCGAAUCAUAAACGGACGCGCGACUACCGCCGUGCCGCUGCCUUGCUCGUCAGUGCCUUACCUUCCGUGCGUGCGUGUUUGUCUUCAGAGUCGUAUGGCAAAGGCCAAAGGCAAGGGUGACCGCAGCAAGAGAAAAUCAAGGCAACCAUGACUUGCAGAGGGGGCCCACGCGUGACUCCGAAAGGUGAACUGCACCGGGCACCGUUACUGGUGGUCUAGGAGAGGUAAGCGAGUCUCUUCGACGGUCGAGGUGGAUCCAGCAAACGGGAAAAAAGUGCGCGAUCAACAGCGAAGGUGCCACGCGUAUCUGCCCUUCUCGAAUCAACGAACAAGUUUGCUCACUCUCCCCGUUGGUGUGAGUAGGUGUGCGGCAACAGAUCGAGGCCGCUCCAGUCCGCCUCUCGGACAGUCUCGGUGGAACCUUUCGGCGACACGCCCUGCUGCGUAGUUUGCUUUUUACUGCGCGUUCGUGUGUCUUGUAGGCCUGACCCUCUCUUCUCUCUUCCUAAG
rnacentral:misc_RNA from 1 species